GAUGAACGCUGGCGGCGUGCCUAAUACAUGCAAGUCGAGCGAACAGACGAGGAUCUUGCCUCUCUUACGUUACCGGCGGACGGGUGAGUAACACGUGGAUAACCUAUCUAUAAGACUGGGAUAACUUCAGGAAACCGGAGCCAAUACCGGAUAACAUGUUGAACCGCAUGGUUCAACAGUGAAAGACGUUCUUGCUGUCACUUAUAGAGGGAUCCGCGCCGCAUUAGCUAGUUGGUAAGGUAACGGCUUACCAAGGCAACGAUGCGUAGCCGACCUGAGAGGAUGAUCAGCCACACUGGAACUGAGACACGGUCCAGACUCCUACGGGAGGCAGCAGUAGGGAAUCUUCCGCAAUGGGCGAAAGCCUGACGGAGCAACGCCGCGUGAGUGAAGAAGGUCUUCGGAUCGUAAAACUCUGUUAUUAGGGAAGAACAAAUGUGUAAGUAACUAUGCACGUCUUGACGGUACCUAAACAGAAAGCCACGGCUAACUACGUG
rnacentral:rRNA from 1 species